rnacentral:rRNA from 1 species
UACGUGGGGGGCAAGCGUUGUUCGGAAUUACUGGGCGUAAAGGGCUCGUAGGCGGCCAACUAAGUCAGACGUGAAAUCCCUCGGCUUAACCGGGGAACUGCGUCUGAUACUGGAUGGCUUGAGUUCGGGAGAGGGAUGCGGAAUUCCAGGUGUAGCGGUGAAAUGCGUAGAUAUCUGGAGGAACACCGGUGGCGAAGGCGGCAUCCUGGACCGGCAUUGACGCUGAGGCGCGAAAGCUAGGGGAGCAAACGGG